CAUCCACCUGAUAUAUCUGUGGGGCCAGACUUGCGUCAUCUAGGACCUUUUCAAGCCAUAUAUCUAUAUCCCAUAGGGACGCUCGUCCUAUAAUAUGACGACCUGUGCCCUGUUGGCAUACUAAUACAAGGAGUGACAUCAAAACUCUUAGACAGAAAUCCUAAUCUGAAGUCCUGCAUCUAUGUAACUGAUAGCCAUGCAUCGAUGGUUGAUUAUGUCGGAUGCUUCCUUAAACUCUCUUUAAUACUAAUAAUAUCAUGUAAAACCAAUAGGUCCAGUUCGAACUGCCAUUUGUGCAGGAACAGACAUGA